rnacentral:lncRNA from 1 species
UCGCUGUCCAGCAGCGACUUGGUGUUGGCAGUCAGGAACUCCAUGGCGAAGUGCACGCCCGAGGCCUCGCGGCCGGGCACGGGCAGGUCACGCGGCUUGGUGGCGCCGGCCGCCAGCACCACGGCGUCGUGCUUGCCCACCAGGUCCUGCGCCGUGACGUUGCCGCCCACGUGGGCGUUCAUCACGAACUUGACGCCCUCCGCCGCCAUCAGGUCCACACGGCGCUGCACCACGUCCAGCUUGCCGGCCUUCAUGUUGGGCACGCCGUACAUCAUCAGGCCGCCGGCGCGGUCCGCGCGCUCGUACACGGUCACCUCGUGGCCCAUCUUGUUCAGCUGGUCGGCCGCUGCCAGGCCGGCGGGGCCGCUGCCCACCACGGCCACCUGCUUGCCGGUGCGCAGCUUGGGCGGGCGCGGCACCAUCCAGCCCUCCUCGAAGGCCUUGUCGAUGAUGGUGGCCUCGAUGGACUUGAUGGACACGGGCGGCUCAAUGAUGCCCAGGGUGCAGCUGCCCUCGCAGGGCGCGGGACACACGCGGCCGGUGAACUCGGGGAAGUUGUUGGUCUCCAGCAGGCGGUCCAGCGCCUCGCGCCAGCGGCCCUUGUGCACCAGGUCGUUGAACUCGGGGAUCUUGUUGCCCAGCGGGCAGCCGGUGGACUGGGUGUGGCAGAAGGGCGUGCCGCACUCCAUGCAGCGCGCGGCCUGGGUGUGCAGCAGCGCCGCGUGCGCGGCGGUGCCGCUGUGGUCGUGCACCUCAUCCCAGUCCUUGAUGCGCUCCGCCUCGGCGCGGUACGGCAGCGGCUUGCGGUCGUAGUUCACAAAGCCGCGCACCUUGUCGGCGGCGGGCGCGGUGGCGGCGACGAUAGUGGGGCGGCCGGCCUCCCAGGUGGGAGAGAUGCCCUUGACGGGCAGGCCCUCGCGCGCCAGCUUCUGCAUGCGGCGCUUGUCCUGCUGCGCGUCGGCGGUGGGGAUCAUGUUGAGCGUCA